GACUCCCCAUGGGGCAAGGCAGCCCCUCUGGCCCUUAUACCUGACCGGGGAAGUACGAAAGCAUGGGGGCGCAACCGGAUUAGAUACCCGGGUAGUCCAUCCCGGAAAACGGUGUCUCCUAGCCGUGGGGCCUUUGAGGCUUUAGUGGCGCAGCUAACCGCGAUAAAGUAGACCGCCUGGGGGAGUACGGUCGCAGGACUAACACUCAAAUGAAUUGCCGGGGGGGCCCGCCCAAGCGGGUGGAGCAUGUGGUUUAAUUCGAUGCAACGCGAAGAACCUUACCUGGUCUUGACAUAGUAAGAACUUUCCAGAGAUGGAUUGGUGCCUUCGGGAACUUACAUACAGGUGCUGCAUGGCUGUCGUCAGCUCGUGUCGUGAGAUGUUGGGUUAAGUCCCGCAACGAGCGCAACCCUUUUCCUUAUUUGCCAGCACUUCGGGUGGGAACUUUAAGGAUACUGCCAGUGACAAACUGGAGGAAGGCGGGGACGACGUCAAGUCAUCAUGGCCCUUACGACCAGGGCUACACACGUGCUACAAUGGUCGGUACAAAGGGUUGCUACCUAGCGAUAGGAUGCUAAUCUCAAAAAGCCGAUCGUAGUCCGGAUUGGAGUCUGCA
rnacentral:rRNA from 2 species